rnacentral:rRNA from 43 species
GUUGACCUCGGAUCAGGUAGGGAUACCCGCUGAACUUAAGCAU